rnacentral:lncRNA from 1 species
GCAUCUCAUGAGGUACGAUAAAUAAUCGCGUGAUGCGGAAGAAGAACCAAGCCGACCCCAAGCGUGGGCUAAUCUGCAAGCUGAAGCUGAUGAAUCAACCUGAAGACGGUUAAAUCAAGCAAGUGCUCGGUCGAAGGAUACUCGUCAAGCGGACGUCACCUAACAACACUAACCUAGUGUUACUCAGGCAAGCCCCGGUGCAUGCAACCCCUUUCCUUGUGUUUUUAAAAUAAUUUUUGCACACCUUAAGUCUAGUGAAAUGUGCAUUAGGUUUAUAGGAGUUGCUUGAAACCCUUUGAUGCAUUGCUUCCUUGAUAUCCAUACCUUUAUAGAUACUUCUGUGAAGUAUCAAAAUAUGAUUUACAAAAAUGCUUAGCCCUGCUUAGAUCUUGUGGAUAGAGGUUGUCCUUAGCUUAGCUCGAGAAAGGAUGGCUUCUACCUGCAAGAAUAUUUUCAUUUGGAGCAAUGGUGGGAUCUUACUGCAAAGCUCCCUGUGAUGCUCUUUUCAUCCUUGGGAACAGAAACAAUCCUAAGGAUGGAAGUAUGUAAAUCGAGACUUGGGUUAGGAACAGGUGAUGUUCUACCCAGGUUGAUUAAGGAUUAAUGCGUAUGUAGGCUUGAUGAUCGAGGACCCUUUAACUGGUCACAUGCCUCAUCAUGGUUAAGCCUUGCCUCGGGCAGACUAAGGCCAGAAUAAGAUAACACGAAAUGGGCGUGGAGCGGUGGCGAGAGUAGCGUGUACCCUCCGUGGCAAGAGGCUGGACGGUGGUGUAUCUGUGCUCUCGGUUUGCGUGAACCUGAUCUGGUCUUAAGAACCCCGGUGGCGGGUUGACAUAUGCAAGGGUUAAGUGCUACAUAUGUCGUGUGAUUGGAGAUCCUCAGCUGAGUAUAAUCGAUUCGGAUCGCCGUACCUUCGCGGUUAUGAAGACUUGGUCACUGCCCUGCAACCUAAAGUCAGGAUGUGAACACUAUGGAUAAAAAUGAUGUUGUGUUGAUGAGAUGUUGAAAUUAGACUAGAUGCAAAUAGAGUCUAUUAAUACUUAAUAUGGCGUUAAAAGAUUGAAAGUAAGGACUCACUUUAGUAAGCUACUUCUGCAAAAGUAUAAGUUGAUUUUUGCUAAAGCCUCUCCUUGACUCCUAUUUAUCCAGCAUACCCUUGAGAGUCUUUUCCUUAGUCGGGUAAGACUUGCUGAGUAAUUCCAUACUCAGGGUUUUAUUCCCUGUUGUUUUUCAGGUUUUAGUUUUGUGCUGCUGAUGAUGGUGUUAAGUGCCGGUGGGCUCGGCCUUCUUAUAUGUCUAAGUAACCCUUCUAUACUUCUUAUUGAGGAUGAUCCCUUAAGCUAGCAUAUAUUUCAAACUUAUACUUUUGUAAUCACUCCGAUAAACUAAUGUAAAAAUUUUGUAACCUGUAAAAUUUGGUAGUAAGAUUUCCGCUGCAACAAUAUUGGUGUGUGUGAUUUGUGUUACUUAAUCCCGCGGUUCUGGUUGUAAGUGGUUUAUCCGAUGUCCUUGGGGCAAUCGGACGGAUCCUCUUAAGUUAUUUAGUGCACAUGCAUAGCUGUCUGAGGUCUUUGAGACAAGGACAGGUGCAUGUGGGCCCAAUAACUUGGGAGGUUCUGCCACAGCUGGUAUCGGAGCAGGAUUAAGUAUAUACGGUCACAUACGUAUUUUCAAAACAAAAGUUUUGGUUUCGAAAAACCUAUUUUCAACUAAACACAUUGUUUGGCUUUGAAAAAUAGUUUAAAAAAAACUAUAAUGCUAGCGACAUCCUCUAUUAAGCCCUAAGUUAAGGACUAUCAGGUGGCUUAUUUGAAAACCACUAACCCACAACCGGGUGGGUAUUGCAUACAUGUGUAUUGUUAUUUUUAAGGCCAUUCAGUUUUGAAUGGAUCGACGCCCAAGGUAAGGUGAGUUGUGAGAGCAUGACCGAACAACCGUCGGUCUAGGGAAGUGCUUAAUUGUGGUGCUUGACUAUAUACAUGUUCUACAUAUGUAUAUACGAAAGCUGCGAUGUGGAGUAAUUACUUUUCUGGGAAUUCAGUACCCCAUGGAUGUGUAUGGGUAUACAGAUAUGGGAAUACUGAGAAGUGUAAUGUACUUGUAACAACGCACCUACACUCAGGUAAGAAGGUGAGUUACCAUAAUGAGUUGCCCUAUGGUUAAAGUGUGGCAACGGCGCCUAUGCAUGGCUCGGCGCUUAACGAUGAGCUAGCCUCCAUAUAGAAAUAUAUGGAGUAUAAACUGUGAUAAACUGUCAUGUGUGAAUUGCAUCAUUGGGAAAUUGGGCUGUGAUGGAUUUUUCUGCAGGUACACUAACCUCGAAAACGUAUGUGUAGUUGACGACUAGCAAAAUAUCGUGAGUGUCGCAAGUAUGCCACCGAUAUAGAACGCUAUCGCCACAUUAUGUUGGCAAAAUUAGUAAGGACGAAUAAGACGAGCAUGCAUCCUGAUUGUUGCAUCAUGUUUGUCACCUAUACAUCCAAAAUGCUUCUCUCAUCUUUAUUCCAGUAACCAUUGAUUGUAGAUAAUGUGGUGUAAUGCUGUAGUAUGGACUUCAAUGAAAUAGUUGUCCUCCGUUCUUUAGAUAAUAUGUUUAGGUGUAUAUGUGUUUGCCCUUGUGCUUGAUGUGCCGGUAGAAUAUUGGUGAACUGUUUGUCUAAACCCAAAAUUCAAGUUUUCCGUUAUCACUCCAUGACCAAACACAUAAAAAUAAAUGGCUAGAUAAUUUCUUUGUUGGACCUAAAGUGUACCCGGACUUGAAGCAAGAAUCUCGAGUCAUGUCCCCAUCCUAAACUAUAUCCUUACUCAGUUGGUGCAAGCUGAUGUACCUUACUCAGUUCGUCUGUUCUUAAGGAUCGCCAUGUUGCUUUAUCAACCUAACCUAGGAAAGGCAUGUCCGAUUAUUUUCUUUAGUUUGAUGUCUUUGGUUUCCUCAUAUCUAUCAAAGGCAUACCAACUUAAUCUUAUGAUUAUUUUCCCUCCGUAUCUAAUCAGAUACUAAUCCGUGACCUUGAAAUUGCUGCGAUGGGCAUAGAGAUAUGCUUGGGGCUGAAGUUACAGUCUCCCAUCGUACUCCCUCACCACCUAGUUUAGGUUAUGGUCAUGCCUUGUUCAUUUUAUCGGGCCAUGAUCUAUUUGGCUCUCUACUUGUAACCAUUCAUACAGGUGGAGUAUCUCUUUGUAUAUUAUCACCCUUGCCCAGUCUAUUUGUGUUGUGCGAGAUUUCUUAUUGGUUAUGUCUGGUAAUGGUGUUAUGACUAAAACUGGUGGUGCCGUGAUGAAACCGAGGGCCUUCUGUGUGUGCGCACACAUGGUCGUGCUGCUCGGCACGCGCGAGUAUCACUGUUAGUAGUUAUAAUCCAUUAUGAGAUUAUAUCAAUGUGUUAUCUUGGCACAAUCUGUUUUUACCACGUGAGAUUCAUUAUUGGUGUUGUUCGGUAAUGGUGUCACGAUUAAUGACUUAUGGUGCCGCAGCGAAACUGAGAGCCUCCUGUGAAUGCGCACACAGGAUUGUGCUACUCGUCGGAUGCUGGUAUCAAGGUCUCUGGUCAUGAUCCAUUAUGGAACUACCCUAAUAUGUUAUCCUCCAUAAACUACUCCCUUGAAACAAUUUCUAUGUUGUUUGUCAAGUGAUCAAGCAACAUCUAUCAUCUUUGUUGGAUCAAAAGGGCAUACCACUUUCGUGUGUGGUCUCUUUCCUUUUGAUCUUGGUAUUGACUACUCAUACAAGUUCCAUUUACGUCCUUUGUGUAAAGGUGAAGCCUUGGAGCUUUUUAGUGUCGAGAGACAACUGAUUAGCUCUCAAAAUGGAGAUCUGUUUUCCCUGCUGCUGAGAUGCAGGAGUUUGUUCAUUCCCUCUCUUAUUUAAUCCAUGUAUUCCCUAACCAAGUCAGUUCAUCUCGCAUGAAGAAACGGGUGAACAACCUGACCAAAUGGACUUCUAUUCAAAUACAUGAUCUCUUGUUAACCAGAGUGAACUCUCAACCCUUGGCUUACCGAUGGUACUGAGAGGACAUGCCCAAUGUCAAAAGUGGUUCAACAAGUUGGUUUUGACUAACUUGUAACUGCCCAGUGAACAAAGGUUGAGUUUAGAGAUCGUUUUGUCGAGUUGUCUAAACUCACUCUGGUUUAACCCACCCUGAAGAAAGCAGAUAUAAGGAUCGAGAUUAAGUUGACUAGUAACCCCCUAAUUAUCGCUCUAGUUAUGCCUCGAUCGCCUCACGUGUGUUUUCCCAGCAUAUGUGAUCAAGUCGAGCCAUGCCUAGUGCUUGAUAAAAUGGACUGGUCGUAAAGUCCAUAUCUACUGAUCCCUCCGCUGGUGAUUUUCUCGAAUCUAUAUCACCUUUCAGGGACUUGGAUUUUCUGGUUGGCCACGGGUCAACUGUGAUGUUAUUUGACAUUCACACCCGUCUCGUGUGCUAUAAACUUACCGUGACCACUUGUUGGUAAACCUCUUUCUGGGUGUUUUACCCAAGAGGUUGCAUCUGGUUCUGUUUGGGUAAAGUCGCAUAUUCACCGCUCACUCAACAGACUCAGAUAGUAUAGUGUCAUCAGAAAAAGCAAACUGCACACAUGUAACCUUAUGUGUUUCUCUAGCAGCCAUCGUCUCUAUUGGUGGACAUUUCUAAAUUAGCCUAAGGCGAUACAUGUUAUGUCCACUAGAGAAACCACAUCCUGAGACACUCGCCUUUAAUUGGAAACGUCUCACGAUUAUCGCUGAUAUGAACAUGGGUUACAUACUUCUCUACCCUUAGAAGUCUUUCGCUCCGAAUCUCGGGACGAGAUUCUUUUAAGGGGGGAGGGCUGUAACACCCCAGGUGUUUAUAUUCCGCUCGACAACGAGUACGGAUUUAAACACGUGAUAUCAGUGAAUAAGACGGACACUAAGGUCUAAUUAUCUUCUCCUAGCGCAAUUUUAAUAUCGUAUUUGAUCGGCUGUCGCGCGUGCGACGUCGUUUUUAUUUCUAUCUGUUCGGGCUCGUCCUAAAUUUUCGUGAUGUUCGGAACAUUGUGGUUCCGAAAAUCGGUGCGUCCGGUGAUUAUUUAAAACUCAUCGCUCACGUGAAUACGAAUUCGGAAGCCCGACACACUCGGAUGAUUGUAUUCCGAACAAAUUAAUUUGAACCCGACGAUUAAAAUGUUCGAGACGAAAUAAUCUGUAUCGCGCGUCGUCCGAGUGAAAUCGUGCGCGCGAAUAAGAUUCAAUUUAUCCGUCCGCACGCUGUUUUGACGACGAAAUCGCGUAGACAUUAGCGGCUUUGGUUUCGGCUAAUUUCGGUCGAAUCACGCAGAGCAAAAUUAACAAAGCCGAAAUAUGUUUAAUUCGGUCCGUUUCUUUUUGCCUUGAUUUAAAAAGGUGAAUUAACGGUACGCAUUCAUCCGACUCCCGAGUAUUCGUCAAAUCAAAACCGUGUCACAAUUACUGUUUACAUCGUAAACAUCGCUAAAUAUCGGGAUCCAAAAUAUCUUCGAUUUCUGUUAAUAAAAAGAGAGAAAUAAAAAAAGGAAAUAUCCCUUCAUCUCAAUCUCCAGUCGUCUCCUUCCUAUCCCCAUCCCGCCGCCCUCCCCGGAUUUUUUUCUUCACCGCCGCUCAAGCACCUGGAUGAGGAUCGAUGCUGUCGCCAGGAUUUUUUUUCCUCGCCGUGCUCUUCUGCUGAAAUCGGUGCCCAGCCACUCCUCUACAGCCGUUGCCAUCUCCCUCCUGUAGCUCGUCUUCUACGCGCCAGAUCUUCGUCCAGCCGCCUUGGCUCUGCUCGAUUUUUCCAUCGCCGAGUGCAUCCCUAUCUUCUCCACAGCGCCCAGCCGUACUCCGAUUUUUUCUGCCGCCGUUCAAGUCUGAUUUUUUUGUUCUCACCGCCUACGGCCGUUGGCCUCAUCUCCUCGCCGUGUGCUUAUCUUCUCCCUCCCCUCCGAUGUCUCCCUCCCCAACGACGCGACUUCAAGUGCCCAGCGUCGUGCUCCCCCAGCCUCUGCUCCUCUCUCUCCCUACGCCCUGUCGAAGCCCUUCUAUGGCGCGCGUGGAUUUCUCCUCCUCCAUCCCCAGCCAGCCAGCGAGCUCCUCCCUCCUCCCUGCAUCCAUGGAGCUCGGCGCCCAUCUCCAUGGCUCGCCCUGCGUCCAGCCGCCGUGCCCGGUUCCGAGGCUUCUUCUCUGCGCGUUUCAUCUCCAGCUCGGCGACCACAACCUCUCCCGCCCCAUCCCCGACAAUCUUGGUCGACCCGGCGCUCGUGCAGGAGGUUUUCGUGGACAACAUCCUUAACGUCAACCUCGGCCAAGCUCCGGCAGGGCAGGCAGCCCUUGGCGCCGGCUUGCCCAACUCCGUGCCAUGUACCACCGUCAACAAAGUUUUCUCCUCGGGUAUGAAGGCUGUCAUGUUGCGGCUCAAAGUAUUCAGCUGGGAAUCAACGAUGUCGUGGUCGCUGGUGGCAUGGAAAGCAUGUCGAAUACCCCAAAAUAUGGGUGCUGAAUUGUGUUCAGACCAGCACUCAAUCUCACGGGAGGUGCAGAAUUCGUAUGCUAUCCUCAGCAAUGAACGUGGCAUAGCAGCUCAGGAUAGCGGUGCAUUUUCUUGGAGAGAUUAGUUGGAUAUUGGAGGUUUGUUUAUGGUUCAUGGCCAUGGAUGCUGAUGAGCCGUCUCGAGUCCUGCCGAAGACAACGCCUGUCCUCGUCACCAACCCUGCUCGCCCAGAUCCAUAACUCCCUAGUUCAAGUCGGCUGAUUCGUGUGCUGGGGAGCCGUUCUCAGUUGCUCGCCAUGGUCGGCUGCUGCUCCCUAAUCGCCUCAGCCACAACCUCACUGUCGUUCUUCAGCUCGCUGCGCGCUAAGCUCCCUUGUCGUAGUUUUCUCGUGCGCAGCGUUUCGUGGUCCCUCGUCGUGCCGAGUUAUCCUCUACACGCAGUCGUUUCCUAUUUUCUGCUCGCCAGUGUGCCCUCUCGGCUCGCUUGGCCUUAAUUCUCAUCGCGUCAUCGAUUCCGCUGGUCAGCGUCGUUCGUCAUCGUGUCGCGUGUGUAGCUCUAUAUACGUCACCCUCUUGUGUCGUCGUCGUUCCGUGCGUCAUCAAGAAAUUCCAAGAAUCGAGUGAAGACGAAGCCAGCAGCGUGAUAUUCACCAAGUGCGCGACCAAAAAGCUCAGACAUCCUGCGCGACUCAAGUUCAAUUCGUCGAAAUUAUUCAAUCGAAGAAAAUAUCUUCAGCAAUUAGUUACCGAAGAAAAGAAGGCUCCUGGAUGACAUCAACCGGAACCCGUAGUCGUGCUUGCGACUAUCGCGUCGAAUUAGUCAGGGUAAGUUGGUUCGUAUUCCCAUUAACUAGGUCUAUAAAUAGAUUAAAUAGAAUUGUUGGUCACAAUAAAUAUUAUUAAUUUAGUAUGCGUAUAUUGUGAUGAUUGAUUUAGAUAGCUCGCUAAAUCAAGUAAUUAAGUUACACAGUUUAGAGAGUUAAUAAAAAGCUAAGAAUAAAAAUAGAUUUUCUAGUGUAAUAUGUCAAUUUGAUUAAUGGAUAUAGUCGAUGUCCUGCUGUGAUAUCCAUGGUGCUUAAUGCUUGGUUUUAAGUGUUUCAUGCUUUUUAGCGUAGAUUAUCUAUAUUAUACUCGUUAUAUAUGUGCUCAUACAUGUGCAUCAUGCAUCUCAUGAGGUACGAUAAAUAAUCGCGUGAUGCGGAAGAAGAACCAAGCCGACCCCAAGCGUGGGCUAAUCUGCAAGCUGAAGCUGAUGAAUCAACCUGAAGACGGUUAAAUCAAGCAAGUGCUCGGUCGAAGGAUACUCGUCAAGCGGACGUCACCUAACAACACUAACCUAGUGUUACUCAGGCAAGCCCCGGUGCAUGCAACCCCUUUCCUUGUGUUUUUAAAAUAAUUUUUGCACACCUUAAGUCUAGUGAAAUGUGCAUUAGGUUUAUAGGAGUUGCUUGAAACCCUUUGAUGCAUUGCUUCCUUGAUAUCCAUACCUUUAUAGAUACUUCUGUGAAGUAUCAAAAUAUGAUUUACAAAAAUGCUUAGCCCUGCUUAGAUCUUGUGGAUAGAGGUUGUCCUUAGCUUAGCUCGAGAAAGGAUGGCUUCUACCUGCAAGAAUAUUUUCAUUUGGAGCAAUGGUGGGAUCUUACUGCAAAGCUCCCUGUGAUGCUCUUUUCAUCCUUGGGAACAGAAACAAUCCUAAGGAUGGAAGUAUGUAAAUCGAGACUUGGGUUAGGAACAGGUGAUGUUCUACCCAGGUUGAUUAAGGAUUAAUGCGUAUGUAGGCUUGAUGAUCGAGGACCCUUUAACUGGUCACAUGCCUCAUCAUGGGUAAGCCUUGCCUCGGGCAGACUAAGGCCAGAAUAAGAUAACACGAAAUGGGCGUGGAGCGGUGGCGAGAGUAGCGUGUACCCUCCGUGGCAAGAGGCUGGACGGUGGUGUAUCUGUGCUCUCGGUUUGCGUGAACCUGAUCUGGUCUUAAGAACCCCGGUGGCGGGUUGACAUAUGCAAGGGUUAAGUGCUACAUAUGUCGUGUGAUUGGAGAUCCUCAGCUGAGUAUAAUCGAUUCGGAUCGCCGUACCUUCGCGGUUAUGAAGACUUGGUCACUGCCCUGCAACCUAAAGUCAGGAUGUGAACACUAUGGAUAAAAAUGAUGUUGUGUUGAUGAGAUGUUGAAAUUAGACUAGAUGCAAAUAGAGUCUAUUAAUACUUAAUAUGGCGUUAAAAGAUUGAAAGUAAGGACUCACUUUAGUAAGCUACUUCUGCAAAAGUAUAAGUUGAUUUUUGCUAAAGCCUCUCCUUGACUCCUAUUUAUCCAGCAUACCCUUGAGAGUCUUUUCCUUAGUCGGGUAAGACUUGCUGAGUAAUUCCAUACUCAGGGUUUUAUUCCCUGUUGUUUUUCAGGUUUUAGUUUUGUGCUGCUGAUGAUGGUGUUAAGUGCCGGUGGGCUCGGCCUUCUUAUAUGUCUAAGUAACCCUUCUAUACUUCUUAUUGAGGAUGAUCCCUUAAGCUAGCAUAUAUUUCAAACUUAUACUUUUGUAAUCACUCCGAUAAACUAAUGUAAAAAUUUUGUAACCUGUAAAAUUUGGUAGUAAGAUUUCCGCUGCAACAAUAUUGGUGUGUGUGAUUUGUGUUACUUAAUCCCGCGGUUCUGGUUGUAAGUGGUUUAUCCGAUGUCCUUGGGCCAAUCGGACGGAUCCUCUUAAGUUAUUUAGUGCACAUGCAUAGCUGUCUGAGGUCUUUGAGACAAGGACAGGUGCAUGUGGGCCCAAUAACUUGGGAGGUUCUGCCACAAUCCCCAUUGAUUGUUGCCCACAACCCAACAUCAGUACGAUAUGAAAGUGGUUACAAUCAAUGUCCUGACCUCGCGCGAGUGCUAGAAAAAUCACUCGACUUCUACCGAGAUCCUAAUUAAUAAAGCAGCUACUCGACUUAGCAUACUAGUAUUCACCACAAUGGGAUUCCUGAGAUCAUGCAACUAGGGUUUCAAACAACUCCUACACUUAAGUGCACAUUCAAUCCUACAAUCAAUAAGUGUAGUAAAAUAGCAUAAAUAACAGGUUAUGCGUAAACCGGGGCUUGCCUUCCAAAGCAGUGGCAGGCAGGUCCUCUGGUGCAGGCUCUGGUGCUGGGUCCGGGGCUACCUCCUGAGCAGCUCCUUGCUCCGGCACGAGGACGUACUCUCCGUCAGCAAGGUUACAGUCUAUCGAAUGCAAUGAACAUGUAUGUCAUGAGUAUGCAGGAUUUAAUAACAUUAAGCUAAAAAGAAAACUAAGUUAAAUAAUAACUUAGGGUUUCUUGGUCAUGCGGGGCUUCCAGUGGGUUAUGCUUAUUACUUUUUAGGCUUAGGUUUUUAUUGUUGAGGAUAAUCAUAGGGAAUUAGUAUUGCCUUUUUAUAUACUUAAGUGGACAAGUUAUAAAGAGUUUUAGGAUGGCACUGAUUUUCUGUUAUUCACCUUCCCUUUUCCUUAUUUUCUAUUUAUGGUUUCUAGGGUAGGUUUGAACUACGACAGUGGUUUAAUAUUUUCUAAAAAUUCUGUAAAAAUUACAGUGGGUUGCCAUCUGCUAUUCUAGCCUGUUUUAAGAAUUUGAGGCUUCAAAUAUAAAGGCUAUGCUUUAGACAAAAAUAACAAAAGUUGGGUAAAUGGGCCACUUUGUACUACAACUCUUAAUUAGAGGUGGUUUCUGUCCUAAAGGUUAUUUUUGCUGGCAUCUAAUAGCAAUAAUAGGCUUCUGUGCCAAAAAGCACAGAAAGCUAAGGGAUGGUCAUUUAGUUAUGAUUUUCUAAAGUUAAAUACCAAAAAGGCACUUUCUACUACAUUGUUAUUUGAAAAAUGUCAAACAGCAGAUUUCAUAUUUUUCCUAAGUUCUUAUUAACAAAACAUUAGUUAUCCCAAGGGUCGGGGUGUUUUCACCUUGGGGUUAUUUUUGUAGGGUUUUCCUAAGUUUUCCUUGUUUUAUUAAAAUAAAAGGUAUCCUACUUAUUUUCUACUAAAUCAGGGUAUGAUAGAUUUUUCCAGUGAACUACAUUGAAUAAGUACCCUAACAAAAAUAGGGGUGCCCCCUGGUUCAUUAAUUAAAUCACCUUUUCUAUUUUUCUUAACCUUAAGCAUAUUAUAGAAUAAGGGAUAAAAACUAACUUAAUGGAGUGGACAGAGAGGUUUAACAUUUUUGAACAGAUCAGUAGGUAGAUAUAAACUUCUCCAAAUUUUUCUAACCCUAGUCAAAUAAUACAACUAUUUUUCUUCCUAUUAUUGAGCUUUUGGCCAAAACUAUAAUUAAAUCAAAGCUUUAAAGUUUUCUAUAGUACAUAGGGGGUUUUAUAUUUUUCUUAAGUGGGUUACAUUAUUUAGAGUCUGACAAAAUUGGUUGGACCAAAUUUGGAUGAACUAAACAGAAGUUAUGAAUUUUUAAAGUCUCUGUUCAAUUUAAAAACAGAUUUGAUAAGAGUUUCCUGGAAAAACAGUUUACACCGAGGUCCCUGGGUUUAAACUAAAUCAACCCACUCAAAUCUACCCCUGCGCCACUAUUUCCCUGAGUCGCUGACAGUUCAAAAAGCCCCCUGACCUUCUCUCCCUCUCACCAGCAGUCCUUCCCCCAAUGUAAACAGUACCCGUGGGAAAGAAAAGGGUGGCACGGCUUACCGGCGGCGAGAUAGGUCCGGCGAAGGGCAGGGUUGGCUCGGGGAGGCUCUGGCGGUCACAGCGGUGUACGGCUCGACGGCGGGGAUGGCCGGAAUCGCUCGGUCCGCGCGCGCAGGCGGGUGUUCUCGUCGGCGGCGAGUGUACCGGCCAAACCACGGCGACCUAGUUCAAUACAACGGCACGGUGAGCUUCCUGGGGUGAUGUAGAGGCUAUCCGUGCAGUGAAUCGAGAAAUGGCUCAGUGAUUUACCCGGUCCACGCACUCCGGCGGGGUUAUGAACUCCGGCGACCGUGGACUGGCCUCUCCGGCGAAGCAGGCUUCGAUUCCUCGCUCGGGGAGCUUCACUGAGUUGUGCACACUCGUCUCCGAGGUUUGGAUGGGGCUGGGGGAAGCUGGACUGGCCGGUCUACGGCGGAAGUGGCUCGAGUGGCCGCAGACACGCCGCGCACGGGCAAACGGCGGUGAACUGAGCUCCGGUGAGGUUUGAGCGUGCGUGGAAGAGUGUAGCCGAUGCCUGGGCGGGCUUUAUAGGCGCGGGCGUGGGAUAGGGCGCCGGCUGGCCAUUGGCGCGACGCGGGGCGCGCGUGGGCGUGCUCUGGCGCACACAGAGCGCGUCGAACACGUGGAGCUUUCAUUCUACCCGUGUUCCACAGCUCACCCAAGUCGCAAACAUGCG